GAUGAACGCUGGCGGCGUGCCUAAUACAUGCAAGUCGAGCGAACGGACGAGAAGCUUGCUUCUCUGAUGUUAGCGGCGGACGGGUGAGUAACACGUGGAUAACCUACCUAUAAGACUGGGAUAACUUCGGGAAACCGUAGCUAAUACCGGAUAAUAUUUUGAACCGCAUGGUUCAAAAGUGAAAGACGGUCUUGCUGUCACUUAUAGAUGGAUCCGCGCUGCAUUAGCUAGUUGGUAAGGUAACGGCUUACCAAGGCAACGAUGCAUAGCCGACCUGAGAGGGUGAUCGGCCACACUGGAACUGAGACACGGUCCAGACUCCUACGGGAGGCAGCAGUAGGGAAUCUUCCGCAAAGGGCGAAAGCCUGACGGAGCAACGCCGCGUGAGUGAUGAAGGUCUUCGGAUCGUAAAACUCUGUUAUUAGGGAAGGACAUAUGUGUAAGUAACUGUGCACAUCUUGACGGUACCUAAUCAGAAAGCCACGGCUAACUACGUG
rnacentral:rRNA from 1 species